GACGAGGUGCCAGAGUGGUUAAUGGGUAUGACUCGAACGCACUGCUACUAGAUAUCAUAUGGCUUCGGCCGCACAGGUUCGAAUCCUGUUCUCGUCG
rnacentral:tRNA from 1 species